rnacentral:lncRNA from 1 species
CUGUUCCCCUCUUUUCCCCAGUGGUUUGCUCCAAUUUCUCAGAACAGCAUCCUUGCCACUAAACCUCAAGAUUGGCCUGUUCCUGUCUCACAAAUUAUUAGGCCCUCUAUACUUUUUACCCUUACCUCUAGUUAUCUAGCUAGUAACCUAGAGUGGUUUGAUGGUGUCUUGCACUAAAGCAUCCCCACUCAGUUCCCUGUACAUGGCAGUGGUUUGUUCCUAUCUGCUGAGCAUCAGCAUCUUUCCCCUCCUUUCUCACAGGAAUGAUUAGAUACUGCGUCAUUGAGCAUCAGGCAUUUAGCCCCUCCCCCGGGGUCCACAGUGGUUUGAUCCUACCUCAUGGACUAUUAGGUUCUUUCUGAUUCCCCCUCCAGCGUCACCAUUACUAAUGGUAUGGUCCUUAGCAUCAGGUCUUUUUUUGUCCCCCACUGGUCUUCUGAGCACAUUGACGCAGCCUCAUCUCAUUCCUGAUGCAUCCUGAGCCUCUCAGUGCCUUGCUCCUGCGUAAGCGCUGUAAACUGGACCAAAUGGGUUGAAAAUGGCCAGAAAUUGAUCUUGAUCACUUUAGAUAUUUUAUGAAAAAUAAAAAAAAAUAAUUUCUGUCCAGUUAAAAUCCAUUUGAGCCAGUUUAAGCUAAUUGUGCAGAGCUGGAGGCUGAGGUCGGCAAACCCAGGAAGAUGGCUGAAGACUAUGCUGACUCAAGCCACUCAUGGAGCCAGAUUUCUUGGAUUCCAGAUUCAACUCCUUCUUUGACCCUGGACCUGUGCUGACUGGAAGCCUCGAGAUGAGAUGAGAAAAUCGAGGCUCAGAAAAGUCCCAUGACUUGUCCAAGGCCAUGAAGCUAGUUCACAGAGAGGCACAGAAUCAGCUAUGGAAGCACUUGAGAGAAUACCAAUACCAUUUUGUGGCCUGGAGAGAUCGGCACCCUCACUAUUUUUGUCCCUGCUAGCCAUCAGCCUCUGGCUUCCCUGUUAUCCUGUUGCCCCCACAGAAUGCAGCUACUACGUGGCUUAAGAGCCAGCACCUCCAUGAAGUGGUGAAGAGGAAAGGCCAUUUGAGGACACAGUGAGAAGAUGAUGAUUAUCUACAAGCCAGGAAAAGAAGCUUCUUCAGAAACCAAUCCUGCCACACUGAGUUUGGGUUUUCAGCCUCUACAACUGUGAGACAAUGAAUGUGGUGUUUACAGCAUGCAGUCUGUGAUAUCUUGUUAUGACAGACCAAGGAGUCUAAUCUAACUAUUCCUUAAUAUUGGGAACAUUACUUAGAAGCAAAUGAUCCAUGAAAAUGGUAAAGUCAUCUGUGUUUGCUAUUCUUAUUCCCCCUUUCUCCACCAUUGAGCAUUCAAAACAGUGGCAGGCAACUUACAUUAUAUGCCUGGGACUCAUUUCUCUUUAGCUUUUAGCAUUUGAUUUCUAACAUCAUGGUUAAGGUUUGAAAAAACCUGUGUUAAUAAUACACUACAGAGAGUAAGGGACAUAGAGAAAGCCUACAUUCCCAAAUUGCAGUCCCAAGAGGAUUCUAAGCUUGGGUAGUGCUGAUGGAGCACUCUGACCUGUGGUGCACCAUUGGUUUAAAGACUUUAUUUUUUACUAUUCUUUAGAUCGCAGUUUGGAACUGAGUUAUAGAACAGAGUAUAUUUCCUUAUUUUCUCCAUUUGGUCUUUCUUCCCUCGAUAAUUCCAAAGUAUGCAAGCUAUAUGCUUUCUAGUUUUUUUUUCUUUAGAGCCAUUAUCUAGACACCAAAAACAGCGAUGGAAAGAGACGGGUUUAAUCCAAAGCACCGGUUUCCAUUACUUUGAGCUGCCUCAAUGAUUUUUCUGAUGGGGUGAAAUUUCUUGCACUUGGUCUCAGGCCCAAGGUAUAUGCAAUGUUUCAAUGAAAUUGCUUGCGACACAUUGAAGUGAGUGCCUGGGAACUAUGAGUUUGUCAAAUAUUAAAAGAAAAAAAAGACUCAGAACCUCUUGUACAGGCAGUGGACAAAAGAGGGGAUAGCUUUCAAAGAUUUUACUUGCUAUAAAUGUCUACCCUGAUAUUGAGAGUGUUCUGUUCUGUGAAAGACACAAAGAUACAUAUUCAUAGGCAAUGUCAGAAAGUGUGUAUUCUACACACUUCUUGUGAAACCCUCCACAUUUGGGGGCCGACUUCCCUCUCCAGUCUAAUCUCCUUUACACCCCCUACUUCAGUUGAAUUCCUUAUUUAUUUCUUUACAGUUCAGUUGUUGACCACAUAGUAGGUCUUGGGGCUAGAAAGACAAUGCUUAUCUACAGGUGUUCUUCGAGGUUCCCAGGCGCUCAUAGGAGAACCUUUUAAAGUAUCUCCUGUGGUUAACAGCAUUGUAGAAGCUUGCUCUGCAUAGUCACACAUGAUGGAAUUCCAUUUAUAAAACCCUCAUAGAAGGAAUAAGGACCAGGGAGCAGGCUUUUGCCACACACAGUACUACAUCCUAUGUUAGAUCUCUUUUGAGUGGCGUUUGAGCAAUUCACUUCUUGGAACAUAUAUAGCAUGCCGUUUUUGCUUCACCAUAGGGAAGAGUUUAUCAAAUUCAAGGAAUAAGAUACAAUCAGCACUGAAUUUUCUCUCAGCAGUGAAUCUUUGUCCCUGAGUAAGAUGUUUGGUUCUCAUAACAAUGUUCAGAAAGUUGUGAAAAGUGCUGAUAGUCCAGCACACACAUAUGCAAUGGUCUUACCUUUAAUCAGCUGGGAAUAACAGGUUCCCAAGUUCUACCUGUUUCCCUUGAUGUCCCAGUUGACAGGUAGAUACUUGGUGUAAUGGAGAUGUGAAUGUUCUAGAUGAGAAAAGAGAAAGGUGUUGAGGAAUGUGUGCCGAGGGCUGCUGUUUAUCAAAGGGACUUGAGAUGAUGGCUAUUUUGGCUCUGGCACUGUGCCCUUUUGGUAGUGCACUCCAUUCCUCCAGAGAUUUCCAAAGCAAAGGUUAGGGAUGAGAUGUAAAGAUUAAGGGGCAGAAAGGCUGCUCCCCAAAUGGAGGCUUGGUGUUUGAAAAAGAAUGUUCAUAAAGUCAAGAUAAGACACCCAGAUUCCAGUCCUAAAUCUGUCCUUGACUUACGGUCUGACCUUGGGAAAACCAUUUCUUAGUUUUGGAUCGCAGUUUCUUUGUAUCUCAAAAAAAAUGUUUGGAGGCCAGGUGUAGUGGUGUAUACCUUGAAUCCCAGAUUUCAGGAGUCAGAGAGAGGUGGAUCUCUGUGAGUUGAAGCUAGUCUGUUUAGUGAAUUUCAGUCCAGUCAGGGAUACAUAGUGAGACCCUAUCUCAAAAAAAAAAUUAAGAGUGGUUUGAGUCUGGGGAUGUUGCCCAGGUGGUAGUUUCCUAGCAUGCACAAAGCCUUAUGUUCUAUCACCAAUACCAUAUAAACAAAGCAUUGUGGUACAUGUCUAUCUGUAAUCCUAGCUCUUGGGCAGCAUAAGUAAGAGAAUCAGAAGUUCAAGGUCACCAUUAGCUACAUUGUGAGUUUGGGGCCACCAUGAGAUAUAUGAGACACUGUCUCAGAAACAAAGUUCAGUUUAUCUAUGAGGUGUCUUCACACUGACCUUAAGUAUUUUUGGUCCCUUGACUUCUCUAGAAAAGGAGCAAAUGCCAAGACCGUUAAAUAUAGACUGGAAGUUAUAGAAUAUGAAAAGAAUAAAAGAAAAAUUAAAGCACACAGCUACAGAGUACAUCAUGUUGUUGGUAUUCUACUCUGUGUAUUUCCUACAAUAAUAUUUUGUCCUAUUGUUCCUUGGGAACAAUUGAAAUGUCUGGGGAAAUGAAAUUUUCAUUGUUUCAGUUGUAGCUUCUAAAUUGCCUCAUUCAACCAGAAAAGACUUCAGCAAGUUUUUCAACAGGAACCAGUGUCAAAUUUUUGUUUCAGAAAAUAUGGUCACCACAACUCUGUAGCACUUACCUUAUCUUCCUUAGGGUGUUUUCAUACAUAGUAAGUUUUCCAUUUAUGUAAGUAAUGUCCUGGGAAAUUUAUAAUCUGUUGGGAUCAUUUAUUACUCACACAAGACAUGUGUUUGGAAAUAUAAAGAGUCAUUCUUCAAGACAGAUAUUACAUGUAUUAUGAUUGCUUGCAAUAGAUGAAGAGACCAGUUAGGUUCUCCUACUAUAAUGUUCUGUUGAUAGAGGGCAGAAGAAACUAAGCAGCAGGAGAAAUUAGCAGUAGAAGCAGGAAGGCAGAAGUUUCAAAUAUCCAUUGUUUACAGCCUCUGCUGAUAGUGACUUGGAACCAGCAGUUUUGGAUUUAGGUAAAGGAACAUGUAAGCUAUGCCUGCCUGGAUGUCUGUCUCCAGCUCUGACCUCUCUCCUGAGUCAGAGAAGAAUUUUAAAAUGCUUGUUCUAGUUCUCAAUCUGACACCCUAAAAGUAUUUCUCUUCUCCCCAAGACAUGUUCUUUUCCCUAAUGCACUGUUCUUGUUACUAGUGCUACUUUCAUCUUACCAAUCACUAAAAAUGAUAAAAAUGGCAUUUACAUUUUUCAUUACCUUGAUAAAUCUAGUCAGUUGCUAAGUUGUGGUACUAUUGCUUCACAAUUUCAUCUCACAAAAGGCAACCUCUUCCACAUUUCACUACAGCCCUCAUGACUUCUCAUCGCACUUGAGUAACUCUUACCUGGUUCAUUUUCUUUAAACCUUGUCCACCUCAUUCAGUCAAAAUACAAACACACACACACACACACACACACACACACACACACACACACACACAUAACCAUUAGCAUUCUUUCUUCCCAAUUGUUAGGCUAAGUGUAUGGAGAGGUAGUCUUCAGUGGUACAUAUGCAUUUUGCACUGAAGAAAAGGAAGAAGAGAUUAUUUUUUCAAUAUUUGGAGGCAAUUUCAGAAGGCCACAGUGGCAUAAGGAAAUACUUGUUCUUAGUUAAGAAUUAUAUUUUAUCCUGAAACACUUUCACUGUAUGCUGUUCCUCUGAACUUGAUGUUCAAGCCAGCCUGAUACCUGUAGUUCUCCCUGCCCACAGCAGAUUGCUAUUCUUCAUUUCUUUUUGUGUACACUUGAAACUGCUGAAUGCGUUCUUCUUGCUUUUUACCCCCAAGCCUCAUCUGAUCUUUCCCACAGAUGUUGGGGAUUCAGGGAUUCCCCAUAGGUUUGAGUGUCUCCUCCCUCAUUACUGGCCUUGGCCUCUUCCCAUAGCCAUGUUUCCAUCACUCACAUGGACUUGGCCACGUGGCAGCUUUGCUGAUGGGCUCUUCAGCCGUCUCCCACAAAUCCAGGCCAAGAGGUGACAUUCAAUCUGUCCUCAGUGUAUACCUCCAUCCUGCCAAAGCUGUAAAACUGUCUGGGAUUAUAGUCCCAUCCAGUUAUGUACAUGAGGAGGCACUUUCCAAAGACAUUGAUCAAUUCCCUAAUGAUCUCAUGGCACAGCAGGUAGAGCUCCUGUGGUUUGCAGCAAGAAAGCCAGAGCAUAGCAACAAGUCCUUCAGGCUCUGUGCUCUGAAACUCUCUUGAGCCAUAGGGCUUGAGAAGACCACUGGGUAUUUUGGAACUUGUCCCAAACACAAUUAAGUAUCCAGGCAAAAAGGAAAAGAAUUGUUGGAAUACAAAUGGCCUAGCUCAAUGGGGGUUAGGGGGUGACCCAUCCAACUGGGGCUCCCAUCCCAGUCAACACAGAUCUACCAUCUCCUCACUGGGCCUGCUGAAGUCAGCCUUGUCUGCAUCCAGGGGCAGCUCUAGUGGGCUUGCCCAGUAUCCUAGGCAUGUGCAACACUUCCACCUAACUCAAACCACAUGCAGAGGAUCAUGUCAUACUUGGCGCAUAACCAAUCGAGAAAGGCAUCAGAGGGUGUCCAGACCUCAGCUUGUUUGAACAAAUGUUCAAAAAAACAUUUCUGAAGGGAUAUUCCAGAAAAACAUACUCACUCAAGGUCUUAAAACAGAUGUUCAGGCUCUAGGAUUGGGUUGCUUUGCAGCUACUAUUAUCAAAUACAAUAAAGAGGGACAAAAUCAUUUUAGACUUGAACUAGGGUGUAUGUUUAGCUUUCUUUUGUGUCUUUAUUGUUGGCCAUGAGAAGAUGUGUUAGAGGGCAGAACAUAAAGCCGAGAGGCAGCAUGCUAUUGUGAUUCACUCUUUGGCACGGGAGUCAAGUAGGCAAAGGCUUUGACCCCUGACUAGCUUGGUGUGCUAACCUAUCACAGUCUCACUUUGUUUAGCUACAAAACUAAUGGCAACAUUGCUGACUCAUUACUUUUGUCAAGAAAACUAAAAACGCAUUACAUAUAUAGUGCAUACCCAGCCAGUACAGCACUGUUAACAACACUAUCACCAGCAGAGCUUUAAUAUUUACUGUUACUACUAAUUUUACACUAUUAGCACUGCUGCUGCUGCUCUCUCUAGGACAGCUCCACAAAUUAGUUGGGGAGUUGAAGAGGGCCUCAGCUUUGUUUUUUUAGUCUAUGGAGAAGGUAAGCAUACCAAGGAAGAACACUGCAGGAAUUCUAGCUUAAAAGAGAAAGAGAGCAGGGCAGAGCUCUUGUAGUUUAUUUUCCCUAUUUUACACCAAAGCCCUUCUAUCCUUCAUUAGCUUGCUAUGUAACCUAGCUCCAGCCACUUGAGAUAAUGGUGUUUCACUACUUACUCUUGAAAAUGAAACCCUGUGGCACUUGUUUGCAGGCAAGCUGACCUGUAUCAGAGGCCUAGUCUGUGAAUGGAAUGUGCAUGAGCAGCUAGUUCAAAAGAGGCAAGGCACUAACUUCUUUUAAUGGCUCUAAGCUACCCAGCUCACAAUCCAGAUGUAUGCUAUAGCCACCACCAUAAUCUUUCUUAGCUACCGGCAAACUGAUAUCCUGGGCUUACUGCUGGAAGGAAAACUUUCUAAAUAGCCACUAUUUGUAUUUCACUCUUCCAUUGAUACUUGCUGUGCCAUGAUAGCUCUUUUAAUUUACUUUUGUGUUGGGGAUAUGAUCCCAGGGACUUGCAAAUGCUAGGCAAGUUGCUCUAUCACUGAGCUACACCCCAAGAUGGAUUCAAAAUAACUCUUUAAGGAAGAUUAUCCACCUAUUCAUCCAUCAACACCUCCCCCCCACAAUCCAUCCACCUAUCAUUCAACAGGUAUUUAUUGAACAAUGAUAACAUCCAAAUCAUGGUUGUAGGUGCUAGCAACAAGGCAGGGAACUGCUGUUAUGAAGCUUAAAGUCUAGCUGCCUAGUUUCACCAAAUAGAGCGUACCAUGCAAAUCCAUUGGAAAAAUUGAGUGUAGACUUUUGGAACAAAUUUUAGUCAGCCCUUUUCAACUGGACAUGUCUUUUAAGGAGCUUGGGUGGAGAGUGAGGGACUGUCUUGCAUCCAGCCUGAGCAAAGGUUCUGAGGGUGGCCUGGGACAGGACUUUAGUAACAAUGUGCCUGCAUUUUGAUUUCUAAGAUUAAUCUGGUAUACGAAUUGUAUACUUACUAUGCUGAAUGGCUAAAUUUUGAAAUGUGAUAAGAAGACAAUGUAAUUUUGUUAUUGUCUCACUCAUAAACUGGCUCAGAAGGCAGUUCUCAAAGCAGUGUUUCAAAAUUAUUCUGAACAAUGGCAACAUCAGAACAUAUUCUCAAGGGGACUGCUUCAGACAGUUCAGUACAUAUCUGAGUGUACAAAUCUUGGCCUAUUAAAAAUAAACAUUGCUAGUAGCUAAUUUAUACAAAAACAGUAAAAAGAAAGAAUUGUAGAUUUAAAUAUUGAAUUAAAUUAUUGAAAUAUUUAUACAUUAUAUAUUUGGAUAUAUUACUGCCAUACAAUUAAUUCACUUUAAAAUAACAAAAGGAAGUUUUCUUUGCAUUAGGUUCUUUUUUACCCAGUUCAUGCCUAGUCUUCUGCAUGUGAAUCUUUGAAGUGAACAGCACAGCUAUUUAGCCAUUGUCUGUUUUUUUUAUAUCAAAGUCAAUCUUCCCAUUACAUGGCAUGCCUGCACAAACACUGCCUUCUGCUUUGAAGCCAGUGUAUGAUCAAAUUAACUUGUAAUUUUUUUGCAGCAGAAUGUUAAAUCAGGAAUUGUAAACAAUUCCUAGGCAAUGUGUAUAAUGUUGGUAAGUCAUUCCUAGAAAUUGUUCACAAUGCCUGUAACAUAUAUUCAGCUAGCAAGAUACCCGAAAUACAUAGGAAGCCUUCAAGAAGCUAACUGUCCAUUUCUAGGACAUCUCUGGAUCAUGAACUUUUUUGUAAUCAAUUCUACGUAUUUAUCUGUUAAUUUAUCUUGUUAAUAAUUCUGAUAAUAGUAGUACUACUUGAUUGUCAUAGCUCCCAAGGAUUUCUGCAAAUUUGCCAGUAAUUUGGUGAUACAAAGGUUUGGACAUGCUUAUUUUAAGAGGCAUUUGGAAAAAAACAAUAAUUAGGAGUAAAGGCAAUUAUACUUGUCAGGUGAGCCAAGGCCCUGUCUAAACUUUCUUAUUCCUUUACAAAAGGUUUAGGCAAAGCUUCAUUGCCUGUCCCCCAGCCCACUUCCAACCAGUUUUUGAUAUUCUAAUUCUUUUGGGCUUUCCCAAGUCAUGCCAAAAAAUUUAAUUUCUAUCAAUCUUACUCUUUCAUGAAAGUUUGUUGCCUUUUUCUGUUCACUUAUCUGCUAAUGAAACUUGAUAUUCACAUAAUGUAAUGCUUAAUUUAUGUACUUGAUCCUAUUUGUAUUUAUUUAUUUUCAUUUAGUGUUUUGAAAUGAUCUACCUAUUGGUUUAUAUCAGCAUUGCUGUGGGUUAUAACCAUGUAACUACAUCAAUUUAGAUAUGAAAGCAAAAUGUUGAAUGAGUUUUGGCCUUGAGUGUUAUGAUCAUAUCAAGUCACUGGCUGGGAUUCUUUGCAUGUAAAAAUUUAAGUGAAUAUGCUUGACUUCUAAUUGACUAGCAAAAAUAGGACAUCCUAGGAGCCCACUCAGAUGAAGCCAGGGAAUGAGAUGGCUAUGUGAGGAGUGGAAUCAAGAGAUAUCAAGAGAUUGGGCAAAGCCUUUUGACAAUUGAUCUCAGCAUCUAGUACUGUUGCCAAGGAAAUGGCUGAUGUUGUAGGAUGCAGCUGAGCAAUAUUUUAGAGUCAUACAAAUGGCCCUUUAAUUUGAUUAGAUGAUGACCUUCACCCAAAUCUCAUCCCUACUGUACCCAGAUAUGACCCUUCUCUCAAGGCCCAACUCAACCUGGUCUGUUGGGCCUAUCUAGUUGUAUUGGUCCUCUCCAGGGUAUCUUCUUUGAAUGCCUCCAGACCUUUAAGGACAUUUUGUCUCUCAAACCGAAUUGUACUGAUCUAAUUGUGUACUGUGUAUAUUUCACGGAUGCCUUACACUUAUGGUGACCAUAUUUUCUAACCAAAAAUUAGAACAUAUCAUCUGAAAAUUUAGGUGGGUAUUUGAAUUGAGCAGUCCUCUGGAAAACACGGGUAUGCCCUUCUGUGUCUCUCACCUAUUGAAAGUCAGCAUUAACUAAGAUGCUAGGAAGAUAAAGACAGAAGGUAACAUCUACCAAGUGGCAAGUAAAUGACACAGAUAUUUUUGGAGUAUCUAGUAUAGGCAGGAAUAGCUUAAGUGCUUUGUUACUGUGCCUUAGGAGUAAUAUAUUGGUUCUGAAAAUAAACAAAAAUGUAAGAAAAGAAAAGGGGCAUCUGGUAGUGAGACACACUGUAGAAGGAUUGUAUCAAACAAUCCAGCAGGUAAGAGAAGUCUCAAAAGAGGAGGCCUUGUGGUCAGAAAGACAAAUAGAAAAAGGUUUUCACUGAAGUUCUUAAAGGUCUUAUUAGACAGAUUUUAAAAACUAAAUUCUUGGAGGUUUUGCAUAAUACAACAAGAAAUAAAUUUAGGGAAAUUAUAACAAUGGUGAAGAAAAAGAGAAUACAGCUUAGAAAAGAGUAUAGCUUCAUUUAGGGGCUAGAUAGUAAGGUCUGGUCCUGACUUAUUAAUAGAGAUUAGUAAAUUAAUCUUUUCUAGGAAAAACAAGCAUUUAAAGUUACCCACAUCAAACUUCUUGACUCUGGAGUUAUCUGUGUGUAGACUCCUCCAUGCUCAGUUCUGUAGAACGUCAAGAAAGAGACUGACUAGAAGGAUUAGUAGAACUAAGGGCUUUUGAGUAUGCAAUUUUAUGAGUUAGUGUGGUUUAUGUCUGUUGUGAGCCCAUGAAGACAGAGGGAAGAGUACUGCUUCUUGCCCUGGAAAGCCACUCAGUAUUGACUUGAUACUGCUUUUCCUCUAAAGUACCUAUCUUUUCCCACUUCAUCUUCAUUUUUAACUCUCUUCCAUUUUAGGUGUAGCUGAAUUAAAGGACAGGACAUAAGUUAAUGGGUAAAACUCAAUUGACAUUGUUGGUUCUGGCCAUCAGAGUUUCUCUCAUCCAAGUACUAACCAGGCCCACCUUGCUUAGCUUCCAAGAUCAGACAAGAUCUUGGGUAGUAUGUUUCCUAGUUCUCCCAGGUAGACUUGUCUGUAACUCUGUAUACCUGUUAUCUUGGCUUUUUAAGUCUGGGAUUCCACUUUGAAUUGGUUUGUUGUUUGUAUCUAGCAGUAGACAACUGAUACCAAGUAUUGUCUUUCCCUCUCCCUGCCCUCCCUUCUUCUCUCUUAUUUUCUUUUGUGACAGACCUUAUGUGCAUUAGGCAGACCUCUGACUCCUAGUAACCAUGGCUGACUGUACUCCUGUUCUUUCUGCCUUUACCCCUCAGAUAUUGCCAAUGCUGGGAUUACAGGAUAUACUCCCAUGCCCAGCAUACACAUUGAUUUAACAGCUUAUAAUAGAAUAUAAAUACUGGCUCACUAAUAGACAUUGUGCUUUUGUUCAUGCAGCCUAACUUUACAUUUGCAUCUUGAAUGCUUCAUGUUUUAUCUUGAACUCAGAAUGAAAGACCUUGGCCUUAGUCUUCACAUUCUUUGGUGUUGCAAAGUGAAGCUUCCUGGUCCAAUCUUUGCAUUCCUUAAACUACAUGUGAGGUCUGAUAUAUAGAACAAUCAUUUUGGAAUUGUGUAGAAAUAUUUAAGGCCCAAAAAUAUAGCUCCCAAAUGCAAAGCAAUUUCUUGGGCUGUCUGACAAAAAACAAUUGAUGGAAUCUUUUUUAAGUCUUUGACUUUUUUUCCUACUUGCCACACCUCAUUCCUUAAUUUGAACCUUCAGAUGCAUUCUGUUUUUGCCAUAAUGACUUUGGCUAAAAUCUUUUGCCUCCAGUUUCUCUAUACCUCUCUGCUAUGAGCCUUAGGUUUCUUGCCUCCUGAAUGUGUUCAAAACCAUGAAGCAGUUUACUGUUAUUCCUUUCCUCUCUGAAAAUGAAAAGGUAGCUGUGCCAGAUAAUGUCAGAUGGAUGGGAACAUUAGCUUCAGGGUGUGGGUAGAUUACUUACAGGGUUAGUAAGCAUGAGGAUGUUGGAGUUAGCCAGAGGUUCAUCCAAUCGGAUGGCUCCUCAGGAGGGUGAGUCAGAAGGAAUAGAAUGAUUGAGAAUUACUGAACUCCUAAUCAAAGUCCAGCUGGGAAGAUCAGCUAAAAGGAACUGGUCUUUGCUGGCAUCCAAGAAAACUAUGGAUUUGGCCAGGGUGAAGAACUUUUACGGUGGAAUGAGUAAGGGUUAACAAAGUCUUACACAAGGUUUUACCAAGAGGCUAUCACUAUACCUAUGGCAGGCCCAUUCUUUUCUAGUGGUCUCUGCCUGGCAGGCAAGGCAAGAUAAACACCUGAAUCUUUAGAGAUGGAUGGCUAAGUUCUGUUGUGACAUCUCUCAUACAGUAUAUCUAAUGAAUCAGAUUCUCUCUGCAAUUAUUUCAAGAUAUUACUUGGGAGCAAGACAAAAGAGUUACAGCCUGUUCUUAAUCUCUUUCUUCUUGGAACACCCAUAUUUGUGCUUUCGUUCAUGUUGUCUACCAUCUUCCAUCUAUUCCUCCAACACUUACCCUAACCCCUGUGACAGAGGGCAGGUCUGAAAGAUAUGGUCUUGAAGAAUAACAUCUUUCCCAGAAACCUCAUCACAGAAACCACUGGCCAGGUAGCUUGCCUCUGUCCAGUUUGCUGGAAGAACUGCCGAGGUUUCCAGUAUUACUAUCCACUGGAGACUGGGCAGGACUGGGAAGCAACUUUCCCUAGCAGAAGUAUUGCAUUAGGAAACACUUUGCUUGGAAGUUAAGGUGAGAAAUCAUCAGGCAAGAAAAGGGUAUGUUCUUAGGAUCCAAAACAACUAUAAAGUCACUUUUCCCAAAAGGUACAUUGCAUUAUUUUUUGGACUGUUGUAUUAUAGGGGUGGCAGUGGGAGUGGGGGUGGAGCUAGGAUGAGUAACAGUUUUGGAACAUAAAGCCCUACAGUUUUUCCAUUUUCCGUCUAGCUGAGAUGGAAUUAAAGAGACAAAAAUAUUAAAACUACUUCAAAUAGCUCCCCCGGAGCAUUUUCAAUUCUAUUACCUAUGAAAAGAAUCUAAUGGGAGUGUAAGUUUAAUCUCUUCCUUGUGAAAACUCGGGCUUUUCCUGUUUCACAGGAUGUGAUAAGUUCAAGUUCCAUGAGAUUAAAGGGAAAUACAGAACACUUAUCUGGUGUUCUACUUUCUUUCCUUCCUCUUAACUUACCCCCUUGUUGUUCACUUUAUGUAAAGACAUCUUGGGAAUAUGGCUAAUAGUCAUAAAAGAAUGUAGAAGCCACAAAAUGAAGCUAUCUUAAGGGGGAUUGGAAGGAGCAUAAUUGAAUACAUGUGAUUAAAAAAUCAGAAUAGGCGAACCAUGUGGGGAAAGGAAGAGAGCCAGCCAGAGUGGGUAGGGAAGAUGGGGAGGGGAACAAAUAAGAACAAAGCAUAAUGAUACAUAGGGGAAAUGCCAUAAUGAAGCCUAUUUAUAUGCUGAGCGAAAAUUUAAUUUAAAAAGAAUGUAAAUAUUGACAGCAGAGUAUGUGAGCUUCAAAUAUUAGCUCAGCUCAGAAACUUACUGUGAUCAUGGAUAAUCUACUUCAUUUUCUUAGAGCUUAAUUUCCUUGAUUGUAGCAAUAAUAAGACCUAUCUUUUGAAGUUACUGGGUUAAUUCAAAGUGUGUCUUCUUCUCCCCCUUCGUAUGUAGACAUAUACAUAGGAUCAGAGCUUGAAUGCUCUGUUCUUAUUAGGUCUGACUUUAGUCAUUCAAGUUGGGCAUAACUCUGUCUGAGGGAGAGGAAAUGGAUAAUGUGGUUUCUUGUAGCCCCUUUCAAAUGAAGAAUUCUGGGUCUUUUAGAAAAAUCCAGGUUGGCACUGACAGAUGGCUCAGGUAGGUAACAGUGCUUGAUCGUAAGCCUGAUGACCUGAGUUCCAUCAUUAGGACCCAUAUGGCAGAAGGAAAGAACCAACUGCCACAUGACGUCUUCUGACCUCCACACAUGUCUCCUCCCACAAAUCAAUAGGAAAAAUGAAAUGAUUUUCUAAUUAGAAAAAUCUAGGUUUUACUUCUAGAUAUCUAUUUAAGAAGAAUUGUUCAGGGCUGAGGAGAUAUAAUUCUGUGCUAGAACACUUGGUAUUCACAAGGCCCUUAGUACCACACCCCCAAUACAACACACACACACACACACACACACACACACACACACACACACACACACACACACGGAAGAAAGGAGAAAAUGCAAACAAGGAGAGAAUUGUUCAUUAGUGAUUUUUCUUGAAUACUUAAAAUAGUUCCACAUCUAGUUUAGGGUGUAUGAUACAGCACAUUUUCAUUGUGCAUUUCUUGAAAUGAAGAAUGAAUGAAUUACAGAACUUUAUACAUUACAGAUUCUAUCUGUUACAAGAGUUUUAAAAGUAUGUUGAGGCUAAGUAUAUUCUUAUAAUAUCGAGGGAGGAUGGAUUGUGUGACAUACCUUGUGGUGGAGAGGAAAAUAGCUCAAUUAGAAGAAAAGAAUGGGUUUCGAUUUCAGUUUUGCUAUGCACCACUUAGGUGUAGAUCAGGCAGUCACUGCAUCUCUUAAGUCCUCAUUAAUUUAUUUUGUAAGUUAAGACUAACAGUUCUUUUGAUACUUCUUUCUACAACAGUGACACCUUGUUCUUAUUGGUAGUCUAGACAACCCAUUAUUAUAGAGGAGUUCUCAGGCCAGUUAAAGACUGCAAAGAUUCUGGAAGGUGAUCAUAAGUAGCUUCGACCCUUCUAUCCUGACCUGUAGCUUCAGACAGCUAGUAUUUAUUAUCAGAAUAAGUGAAUUAAAUUAUAGGGGUCACAUUCAGACAGGCCUGGUAUUCUAGUUUUAGUUUUGCUUCUAUGAAUAAAAAGAGAAAGAAACAAACAAACAAAAAACCUGACCAAAAGCAACUCUGGGGAGAGAGGCUUUAUUUGGCUUACAAUUCCAGGUCCAUUAUUUCCAGGAAGUCAAGGGAAGGAACUCAAGCAGUUAGUCUCAUUGCAUCCACAGUCAGAAAGUAAAUCAGCACGGCUAUGCCUCAAGACAAUUUUUUUAAAAAGUUGGACUACCACUUAGUGGUAUAGCACUUGCCUAGUGUAUGCAAAAACUUGCCUGGAUUUGAUCCCCAGCUCAAAAGCUUCCUAAGUUGUAAAUCCAUGAAUCCAUACAGUUAGAUGUUUUUAAGACAGAGUAGAGGAAAGUAGUAGAGUGUAGAAACAUGAAAGGAGUAACAGUUUAAGCAAAUCCAAUACACCCAGGAAGCAGACAGGUUCAUUCUAUCUUAGAGUUUGAGAAGUUAUUUUCUUGGGUUUGAUAGCUUGCCCCAUAGACCUGCUGGGUAAGAGAAGCCUGUCCUAUAAAAAUGGGGUACUAGGUCAACCCUCCGAGGCUGAGACAGGCUUGACCCAUGGACCUGUGUCACGUGGCCUUUGGAGGGAGUAUUGGCACUACUAAUCUCUCAUUUGCCUUUGAUUCAUUUGUCUCUAUUUUAUUUAUUUAUAUUUUGAGUCAGAGUCUCACAGUGUAGACCAGAUGGCCUAGAAUUCACUGAGUAAACCAGACUGGCUUUGAACUUAUACAGACUCACCUGUCUCUGCCUCCCAGGGGCUGGGAGUAAAGUCAUGCACCACCAAGCUCAGCUUCCCCAUUUUUUGAAGGAUGUUUCAUAUUUGUAGUUCAAUAGCUGUGUCUUUUCAUCCCAGAGUUUUAAAAGUCCAAUAGCUAAAAAGUCUAAUAGUUUUCCUUCGUUUUGCAUUGUCUCUGUUUCCUUUAAUCCAAACUAGCAUUAUUUCUGUUGGUAUAAUCCAUAAUCUCUUUAUCAAGUAAUAGAAUUUGAUAUUCUUUCUGAUUUUCCUUCUCUCAGAAGCCAUUAAUUGCCUGUAGCUCCUUAUCUAGGGAUGGAGCCUUGUGAAAUUUCCUCCAUCCAGAUUGGUAUGCCAACUGGUAUGGUCAUCCUGGAAGUCUUGUGAAGGAAACUACACUGUUGAUAUUUCAUGGGUUUAUUAUUCCUCUUAUAUAUAAGAGAUAUUAUCUAGCAGCAGGCUUCCUGGUCCUUUGACUCUUAUACUUUUUCUAGCCCAUCUUCUGCAGUGUUCCCUGUUGCAUUACAGAUGUAUCAAUUGGCUAUUUUUCCUCCAUAUUCCUCCAUAGACCUGUGUGGAACUCUGUAGUAGUGUCUUCUUUAGAAGGGAAGCUUCUUUAGUGAAGGUUGAGAAGAAGUACAUAAAUCUCUGGGUAUAAUGAUGACUAUUGAGAAUACAAUUGGAAAUUAAUAUUUGCUUCAGGAAAUGGCAGAAGCAGAUUCUCCUCUAAGGUCUAUAACCUCACAAAUCAUGGAUAGCUGGCUAGGGUUAUAGUACUAGGCAUUAUUCCUAUUAAAUGCACCGUACAUCCAAUUAGAGAGUUGUUGGUUACCACCAAGAUAAAGUGUCACUAUUGUACAAUUGGGGAUAGCUUGCUGGAACAGGCAUUGUUGUGGUUCUUAUGCUUCACACCUGGACAUGCUUUUUGUUUAAUCUUAUCCCUUGAAAACUUGCAUAGUACCCCUAGAUAUUUUGAGAGCUAGUCUUCAGGGAGGAGGCUUUCAGGUCAGUUCUGGAUCAACUCCUCCAAGCUGUGUGUUCAAAGUAUUUGGUGUCUUUUGCAAUAGGAUCUUACCUUCCACUUAUGCUAGGCAACCACAGGAAGGCAAUGACAAUAGCCUAAAUUUCUAUGGGAGUCUCUUGGAUGCCCAUUGACCAACAACUCAAAAGGUUUCCUAUGUCUGGCACUGGAGUUUUGAUAGAUAGUCUAUGGCUCUUGUGGGGAACACUGCACCAUGUGUAGUGUAAUGCCAUUAAAAUAAAUAUGUAUAAACCAGUAUAUACUUUAUAUGUAAUUUUAAGGAAGCCUACAGAAUGUCAUGCUUCCCAAAAACAUUUUGAAACUCUUUGGAAAGUGGAAAAAGUACAAGUGUGUGUGUGUGUGUGUGUGUGUGUGUGUGUGUGUGUGUGUGUGUGUAGGGGGUUCUAGGUACUUCAUGGGAUGGGCUUACAUGCAGACUAUGAGGCUUGGGAGAAUGAUAUCAGGCCAGGCAGGAUAGGUUCUAGGGAAUUCACAAACUGAACUGGUUCAUAGGCUGUAGAACCAGAGCUGAGCACUCUGGAAGUGUGGAGUUGGCACAGCAUGCAGGGAUCUGGGGAAAUUAUCCAGCUCAUUGAAACACAGGCUAAGGGACCCCAGCUGGCUAGAGAGAGUGGAAAAGACAUGGAUAUUUGGGGAUCCAGGGAACUUGUCUUAUUGUGCUGUUGCAUAAGCUACAUGACUCCAGCUAGAACUGAAAGUGUGAGGACAAUUCAGAACAGUGAGCAUCAGUAUCACUCAACACCGGGCUGGGGCACAGGCUGUGGAACCAAAGACAGGACAGGCAGGCACAAUGGGCUAGGGCAUAUGAGAACUGGGAAGCAUGCAGGAGUCUGGGAAAGUAAACAAGCUGGACUGGUACACUGAUUUGUGACCGCAACUAGACCUAGGACUGAGGAAAGGUAAACUGGGGAGUGAGGGUGUAGAUUUCACAUUAGGCAGAUUUGGGACACAUGCUUUGGGAAACCAGCUAGGAGUGGGGAUUCAAUAAGCUCAUCAGGAUCUCCGCAGCAGUACCAUGGCUAAGCUUAGGGACAAGGCAAUUCAACAAACCUAUGCCUGGAAGGGUGGGGACAGAGGAGGUGACUGAAGAUCUAGAUCUCUCAUUAGGCUUGGCCAUAGAAACAGGCAGCUUCACCUAGAAAGAGCUUCUGGGAGUAUGGAAAUGAGAGGAGGUAGAGAUGAUGGGGGCAAUCUGCAAAAACAAACAGGAUAAACCGGAAAACAAACCACACAACUCAAAGCAAAGGGGGGGGCAGUAUGGGGAUGACAUGAGCACUUAACCUCCGUCACACAACAUGCAGACCUGCUGUAUCUGCUGCAUGACCGCAAACAGGCAUAAGAUUUUGAAGCGACUGAGGCGAGAUGAAAAUGCAAUGCCAAUUAUGAGGCAGUUGUGAUAAGUUACUACAUGAAAACAGCUCUGUUAGGAAAGAUAUAAACAAAAGGCAUGUGAAAUAAGGGCACUCACCAGGACAUGUUAGUGCACUGAACAGUUUCCCUGACCAAACACAGAAACAUGCAAAGGGCAACAUGUAAAAAUCUACAAUUAAACUCAGACUCAUAGAGUAGCUAGUGUGAAGGCUAAAAGAAAUUCUAUACACUGAUUCCCAUAUUCCUGAGGAGUCACCAUACUGAUUUCCAAAGUGGCUAUACAAGUUGGCACUCCCACCAGCAGUGGAGGAGUGUUCCCCCUUCUCCACAACCUCUCCAGCAUGAACUGUUUUUGAUUUUAGCCAUUCUGACAGGAGUAAGAUGGUAUCUCAGAGUUGUUUUGAUUUGCAUUUCCCUGAUGGCUAAGGAUGUUGAACACUUUCUUAUGUGUCUUCCAGCCAUUUUGGAUUCCUCUAUUGAGAAUUGUCUAUUUAGUUCUGUACCCCACUUUUUAAUUGGAUUGUUUGGUGUUUUGGAGACUAGUUUCUUGAGUUCUUUGUAUAUUUAGGAGAUCAGCCCUCUGUCAGAUGUGGGGUUGGUGAAGAUCUUUUCCCAGUCUGUGGGCUGCCAUUUUGUCUUGCUGACUGUAUUGUUUGCCUUACAGAAGCUUCUCAGUUUCAGGAGGUCCCAUUUAUCAAUUGUUGAUCUCAAUGUCUGUGCUACUGGUGUAAUGUUCAGGAAGCAGUCUCCUGUACCAAUUAAUUCAAGGGUAUUUCCAACUUUGUCUUCUAAUAGGUUUAGUGUGGCUGGAUUUAUGUUGAGGUCCUUGAUCCAUUUGGACUUAAGUUUUGUGCAUGGCAAUAGACAUGGAUCUAUCUGCAGUCUUCUACAUUGCAGCAUCCGGUUAUGCCAACACUAUUUGUUGAAGAUGUUCUCUUUGUUCCAUCCUAUAAAUUUGGAUUGUUUUUCAAAAAUCAGGUGUUCAUAGGUAUGUGGGUUAAUAUCAGGGUUUUCAACUCAAUUCCAUUGGUCUACCUGUAUAUUUUUGUGCCAAUACCAAGCUGUUUUCAGGACUAUAGCUCUGUAAUAGAGCUUGAAGGCAGGGAUGGUGAUGCCUCCAGAAGUUCCUUUAUUGUACAGGGUUGUUUUGGCUAUCCAGGGUCUUUUGUUUCCCCAUAUAAAGUUGAGAAUUGUUCUUUCAAGGUCUGUGAAGAAUGGUAUUGGGAUUUUGAUGGGGAUUACAUUGAAUCUGUAGAUUGGUUUUGGCAAGAUUGCCAUUUUAAUUAUGUUGAUCCUACCUAUCCAAGAGCAUGGGAGAUCUUUCCAUUUUCUGGUAUCUUCUUUAAUUUCUUACUUUAGAGAUUCAAAAUUCUUAUGGUACAGGUCUUUCAAGCUUUUGGUUAGUGUUACCCCAAGGUAUUUUGUGGCACUUGUAAAGGGUGAUGUUUCUCUGAUUUCUUUCUCCACCAAUGUGUCAUCAGUAUAUAGUAGGGCUACAGAUUUUUUUUGAGUUAAUCUUGUGUCCUCCCACCAGCAAUUCCACUCUUAGGCAUAUACCCAAAAGAAGCACAUUCAUACAACACAGACAUCUGUUCAGCUAUGUUCAUAGCAGCACUAUUUGUAAUAGCCAGAAACUGGAAGCAGCCUAGAUGCCCCUCAACCAAAGAAUGGAUAGAGAAAGUGUGCUACAUUUACACAAUGGAGUACUACUCAGUGGGAAAAAUGGAAUUUGGAAAUUUGCAGGCAAAUGGAUGGAACUAGAAGAAACCAUCCUAAGUGAGGUAACCCAAUCACAAAAAGACAAUCAUGGUAUGUACUCACUCAUAUGUGGAUUUUAGACAGAGUAAAGGAUUAUCAGCCUACAAUCCACACUGCCAAAGAAGCUAAUAAACAAGAGGACCCUGAGAGAGACAUACACGGUCCCCUGGAGAAGGGGAAAGGCUCAAGAUCUCCUGAGCAAAUUGGGAGCACAGGAAGAGGGGGGGGGAGCUAGGAGAAUGAGAAGGGGAGAAGAGGAGGGAUGCAGAGGACAUGAGGAAGCAGAAAGGUUGAGUCAGGGGAAGAAUAGAUGAUAACAAGAAUGGAGAUACCAUAAUAGAGGGAGAUAUUUUUGGUUUACAGAGAAAUAAGGCACUAGGGAAAUGUCUGGACAUCUACAAAGAUGACACCAGCUAACAAUCUAAGCAAUCUAAGCAACUAAGCAGAGGAGAGACUACCUUAAAUGCCCUCCCCUGAUAAUGAGAUUGAUGACUAACUUAUAUGCCAUCUUAUAGCCUUAAUCCAGCAGCUGGUGGAAGUAGAAGUAGACACCCACAAGUAAUCACUGAACUGAACAGGAACCCAGAUGCAGAGAAGGACUAGUGAAGAGCAAAGGGGUCCAGACCAGGCUGGUGAAACCCACAGAAACAGCUGACCUGAUAUCAGGGAACUCUUGCUCUCCAGACUGAUAGCUGGACUACUAGCAUGGGACUGAUCCAGACCCCUGGAACAUGGGUUUCUGUGAGGGAACCUCGGAAAUCUAUAGGACCUCCUGUAGAAGUUCAGUGCUUAUCCCUAGCAUAGAUGUGGACUUUGGGAGCCCAUUCCAUAUAGAGGAAUACUCCCUGAGCCAAGACACAUGGGGGUGGGCCUAGGCCCUAUCACAAAGGAUAUGAUAGACUCUGAUGACACCCUAUGGAAGGCCUCACCAUCCAGGGGGAGCAGAAGGGAUAUGUGAUAGAUGGGGUUUUAGUUGGGGAGGAGUAGUAGGGGAGGAUGGGAGGGAAAAGGGAACUGGGAUUGUCAUGUAAAACAAUCCUGUUUCUAAUUCAAAUAAAAAGAAGUUGAAAAACAAAAAAACAGACAGCUGUUGGUGAACAUAGAGAGCAAAGAACUCUAAAAAGAAAGAAAAGAAAAGAAAAAAAUUCUAUAAUGCUGGAAAUACUGGGCCUGCUGAGAACCUCAUAAUCAAGGAAAGAGAACAUUCAAUGAUCUCUCUUAGAAGUCCAAAUUGGUUAGUGGAAUAAACAUGAUGGGGGUUCUCCUUAAGCUCUAAAAUACUGGAAGCUCCGUCCACAGCUAGUCUCUGCUUUGUGUAGUAAGGAACAGGCAUAUGCUAGUCUAGAGCUUGACCCUUGCUGGAAAGGAGCACAAAGGGUGCAUAUCCAUCCAGAUGUAGAAAUUGGGCCCAGGGCCUAAGACACAAGCUCUGUAAUUCCCUUUUUGCAGGAAUGGUUCACAGGCUAUGGGAGAUCUUGCCAGACCUGGGACAAUGGAAUUCUAAGAGGAGGUCAGGAGCAGAGGGAUUCAAUGGUCUCAUCUCCAAUACCUGGAGAGUAAAACCAGGUAUCCCCAAGAGCCCCUGUGGGAGAGGAAAUGUCUAGAACACAUAACGGCUGAGCUGGUAUGCAGUCUGCAUGACUGCAUGACUGAAUGACCUUGUUCCUCAUCCCAAUAGGGAAGGAUGACUGGGGCAUGUUAGCCAUUCACCAGGAAAGGAAUGUGCCAGGCAUUUUGACUCAGCAUACAUGGGAAAUAGGGGAACGCUGUCAGCAGGCAUGAGACUGGAGAGGAAUCCAUGAAAUGCUGGCAUGCAGACUACAAGAUUCCAGCUAAGCCUAGAAAUGUAAGGAAAUUAGGGGAUAAUCACUCAUUUAUUACCAGGAAGGCCUCUUUUGGAGUCCAAAAUCUAUCAGCUUGUCUUGUAGUAAAAUAUGAUGAGAAUAUGAUGGGGCACUAACUUUGCCUGCUGUUGUAAAGACAACAGACCUUGUCUUGUGGCAAUGGUUCUAACCCCGGGGCAAACAACACACCCAAAGACCAUCUAGGACAAAGACAACCAUGUCAGAAAUACAUAACAUUAGGAAAAUUGCAGAUAGGAUGCCAAAACUAAAAUAAUUUUAUCAUUGGUGGAGAACAGAACAUGAGGAAAUGUAUUACAGGGUGGCAGGCAGUAGAGGUGUUGAAACCCACAGACUGCCUUUUGGUUGUAAAUGUGGUGGGUAGAGUCUGGCGGCUCCUCCAAAUUGGAAGGGGAAGGCAAUUUGCUCACAGAAAUGGCUCUGUCCAGGGUGAGGGGGGACAAUGGUGGUGGAUGGAUAUCUGGGUCACUCUUAGGCUUGGGUGUUGCAUAGGUUAUUGGACCCUAUUGAUGCAGCCACAGAUGAUAUGGGUAACAAGGGAGAAUGGACAGGUACAGACCAUCUAUGACGAUAGUCUGACUGUUAGCAAUACAAUCCCAGAUGAUUCACAAUGAUUAUAUUUGCAGAUAUUGAAGACAUAGUGCUGUAACUCACUGGUGAGGUUCUGAAAACUGUGCAACACCAGCAGAGCCAAUGAGUGAUGGCCAGGGCCAUGGGGAUAUAUGUGUGCUACCUCUGCUCUGUUUGUGGAAAUGGUUGGUGUGACCCAGCUAAGGCUGGGAAAGGGGGAAUGCAUGAGCAUGUUGGGACCAAUGCAUCAUAGCUGGAGGCCAGUUGAACAUUGUAUGGGAGCUUGGCAACCCCUCCAAAUGUCUGUCUUGGCCCCGCCUGAAUGACCUUGCACACAGAAUAUGGGCCGUGAGCUAGUCUCUGCCUUGUGCAGUAAGGGUAAUUCGAAUGACAGCCUAGAGCUUGCCCCUUGCUGGAGUAGAGCCCAAGGUGUUCAUAUCCAUACAGAUGUGGUGCUUGAGGCCAGGGCCGGUGAAAGAAGCUCGGGCAUUCUCACAUUGACUGAAUGGGACACAGGCUAUUGGAGAUGCUGCCAGGCCUGGGACUAUGGAAUUGUAUGAGGAGCUGAGGGACUCAAGUCUCUCGUCUACAAUACCUGGAAAGUAACACCAGGUAGCCCCAAGAGCUUCUGUGGGAAGGAAAAGGUCUAGAAUCCACAUCAGCUGAGCUGGUGUACAGUCUGCAUGACCACUGCCUUUUCUGCUCAACCCAGUAGGGAAGGGUGACUGUGGCAUGUUAGCCAGUCAACGGGACAGGACUGUGCCCAGACAAUUUGACACCACUUACAUGACAAGUAUUGGCAUGCUGUCAGCAGGCAUGGCACUGGACAGGAAUCCAUGAAAUGCUGGCAUUCAGACUAAAAGUUACCAGCUAGGCCUGGGAAUGGAGGGGCCGUCCACACAUUCUUCCUGGGAAGGCCACAUUUGGAGUGGAAACUCCAUCAACUUGGCCUGUAGUUCAAAUAUGGUGAGAAAUCUCGGGAUAUGGGGAACAAAAUGCCCACUGUUGUAAAGUCAACAGAGACCAUGUCUUGUGGCAAAGGUUCUGAUCCCGGAGGAAAUGACCCUCCAAAAGAUCAUAUGUGAAUAAGACAUUCAUGAGAAGAUUAAUAACAGUAGAAAAUUGCAAUUAGGAAGCAAUAACUGCAAUACUUUUAAGGGUGGUUGACAACAAAACAUGAGAAACUAUAUUAGAGGUGGAUGGCAUUAGAGCUAUUGAAACCCACUCAAUGAUAUUUUGGCUGUAAAUGUGGUAGGGAGAGUCAGGCCGCUGUUCUGAAUAGGAAGGCAAAGGAAAUUUGCCCACAGGAAUGUCUCUGUCCCGGCUGAGUGGGACCAUGGAGGUGGAUGGUUAUCUGGGUCACUCCUUGGGCUUCAGUGUUGCAUAGGUUACUGGACCCUAGCAGAAGCUUCCCCACAUGAUGUGGGUGACAAGGGAGAAUGGACAGCUACAGACCAUCGAUGAUGAUGGUCUGACUGUGCGCACUACGAUCCCAGAUGAUUCACAAUGAUCCAAUUUCCAGAUAUUGUGGCCAUAGUGC